UACGUAGGGUGCGAGCGUUAAUCGGAAUUACUGGGCGUAAAGCGUGCGCAGGCGGUUAUAUAAGACAGUUGUGAAAUCCCCGGGCUCAACCUGGGAAUUGCAUCUGUGACUGUAUAGCUAGAGUACGGUAGAGGGGGAUGGAAUUCCGCGUGUAGCAGUGAAAUGCGUAGAUAUGCGGAGGAACACCGAUGGCGAAGGCAAUCCCCUGGACCUGUACUGACGCUCAUGCACGAAAGCGUGGGGAGCAACAGG
rnacentral:rRNA from 1 species